UAUGGUGAUACUGAUCCGGUCUGGGAGCAGACCCUAGCUCAGGAUGCUCAAAGGACUCCAAGCCGAGGAGGCUGGGAAGGCAGUGAAAACCUGAAUCUAGCCAUGCCCACAGCCUUCCAGGAUGCCUGAAGGCCAUCUUCCUGACAUGGAGGUGUGGGUCUGGACACGCCUGUGGUGAGGCUUACAGACUGAGCAGUCUUGACCUUCUGUGGUAUCUGGAAGCAAAAGUAAAUCUGAACCAAACUGGCAGCAUUUCCAUCCUUUCAGCUACUUGCUUCUGAGCCAGACCCGCUGUAAGCUGAAACCCCAGCAAGAAGCCCGAAGAGACUGUAGGCGGCCUUGAGACCUGCACUUCUUCUCUAACCAAGAACCUUAGCUGGGGCCAAUUUGAAGGACCCAUGGGUGGAAUGUGCUGCCUGUGAGAUUGUGGGCACGGUAGGACCCAGCCUGGCUCCUUCUUACAUUCAUGGUGAAUGUGGUUUCACAGGACCCAGAGUAUAAACUUUCAUAGACAUUCUCUUUUAGAAAUAAUCCUUUACCCUGUGAAAAAGCCUUAGCAGAUGACUUUCUUAGAUUUUAGGCAGAGCUCUGAGGAUUUCUGUUGAAGAAAGGCACUUUCUAAUCAGCAGGAUAGUAUACUUCAGUGGUUUGAAGGGGCUUCAUAGUCCUGCCUGAAUCGUAAUUUGGUGAAGUCAACGGGCCUGUCUGUUACCAGCAGUUCCUUUGGCCUCUUCCCCAUGAAUGUACAACAGCAUUGAUAGGAGAAGAGGCCUGGGUUAUUGAAAGUGGCUGUGAAUGUGGUUAAGAAUGUAGCAGGUUGGCGGGGUUGGGGGGAAUAGAAGGAAGAAGGCAUCACUUUAAAGUUAAAACCACCUACUGUGCAUAUCCUGAAGCCUGGCUGUGAACCUUAGGAUUGUGGAAGUGUGUGUUAGUGCUGUCCUGUGCUAAAUUUCCAAGGCCCAGAUUUCUUAUAUAGAAAGGAGACAUUUUUGAGUACAGUAAUCCAUGAUCUACACCUGAGCUUAUACAAAUGGCCUCAGUACACUGAGCGCACUUCUGAAGAGUCCUUCAGUCAGAACGCACUGCACAUUAGAACCAGAUGUGGAAGAGCAUGGUUGGCCCACAGUUUGGAAGAACAGGAUCUCUGGUGCCAUCUGUUCUAGCCAAGGCUUUGUAAUAUGGCAUUCUGAUGUAGGCGUGCUGUGUAAGGUAUUCCCUCUUCUUCCAUGGUGGCAUUUACCUUCCAGAACAAUCUCUAAGGCUAAGGAAGAACUGGAGCUCAUUUUCUCUUCAUCCUUUGCUCUACGGCUUCAUUGAGCAAGAUAUCCUUGGUUUCCAGUUUGAACUUACAUGUGCAGAUCUGACCUCAGCCUUUCAACCCUCUGCUGUUGCUCUGUUCCAUUCACACUUUCAAAAGAGCCCGCUCUGUGAGCAUUGGUGUGAGAGAAUUCACUAGCAUAUUUGUUCUGAAGCGGCCCUACUUAAAUCAAGCUCUUUUACGGAACACUGAAACCAAACAUUGAGAUGCUAUCUCCCUAGACUUUUUUUUUUUUAUCUUCUGUUUACCCCCAUGGUUUUCUCUCAUCGUAAGACAUAAAUAGAUGUAAUGACCCCUCUUCCUGUAGCCUCCCUCUAUUCCUAAUAGCCUUUUGAUGUGUGUCUUCUGGCUUGUCUGUAUGUAUUGCUUCUCAUGCCAUCUGUUCCUUUACCAAAUAUAGGAAGAACACUACUAUAGAGCAUCCCGUGGUAGCCCACAUCUGCUUUUAUGUCCCCAUGGUGCCCAGUCACAACCUAUUGGCAUUUUUGUUUGUGUGUUCCCAACCAUUAAUAUGAGAACUGACUUUAGGGAAGACAUAAAGCAUUUAGGAUUUAAGCAGCAGACGUCCAUGAGGGUGCAAGCUGACCUCCCCUAAGUGGCCUCCUCCUCAUGCACAUGUGUGUGUCAUUGUUUGAAACCCAAUCAUCUCUGUUAUGACAGGGAUGAUCAAAGCCAGCAGGGUUGUGUUCCUUUGUGUAACCUGAAGAUAUUUUCCACAUGCCGAGCCCUGAUGGACUUCAAAGACAGACACAGCUGGGGAAAGCCAGUCUGAUGGAAGGGAGACUCUGGCCCGAAAUCCCAAAACAUCACUUUUAAUCAGAAGAGAAAUACUGAGGGUUAAAAAUUGAUUUCAUUUGAUACUGCAUUUGGAAGAACCUGGAUUAUCAUAAAAAAUGAGACAUCCUCCCACCAGCCACUCUGGAAACAUGCAGUGGUGUUUUACAUUUCACAUUCUUUGUAAACAAGAGGAAAAACUACAACCUGCACUUGACAUUAUUGGAACAUCUUACAAGGCUGUUUACAUAGGAGCUAGCGUUCUGAUGCCAGACACUGGUAUAGAGAGGCAUCUAGGCAUAGGGAACACCAGUGCCACCUUUCCCGUGGCAGAAGACAGGACAAGAUGGAGACAAGGGUUUUUGAAUCGGUCAGGUCAUGUGUUUUCUAUUUUGAAUAUAUGGAAUAUAUUUUAAAUUGCGAUGUUUUCUACUUUAAAGAGUUACUGCUGCUGUUACUUAGUAUAAGUACUGCUGUCUGUGUUAGAAGAAAAAGAGCAGAAAAGGAAAGAGAAACAAUCAUGGCUUUUAUGAUAGUUUUUUUUCAGCCUAGAUUUCAUCACAACUGUUUUACAUACUGGAAUUUAUCAACUGUAAGUUAUCACUUUCCAAUAUAAACCCUUUUUUUAGUGCUUUUUAAAAAUUGUGAAUAAAAUUGAUACUUGUUAUUCUUA